UCAGAUUCAUCGACAGACUGAUAUUUGUUGCGUCUAAUCUUGCUCAACUCAGCUUAGAGACUAGGAUCCUUUCAUAACAUAAAGAUACCCAGUGUUCUCCAUCUGAAAUUUCAUUUAUCAAACGUUUUCCACUUCCAAAGACUGCUGAAAGCAUGGAGGCAAGAAGAGCUUGUGUGGAAGUAUCGGAAAAUCACAAGUACUUCAUCAAGAAUGAGAAGAAAAACAAUUGGAAAAUAUGAUAAAGAUCUCACUGAAAUGGAUGUUGGCAAAGCACAGGAAUUCUGAGGGGAUUCCCACACGUGCGUGUGUCUGAAAUCAAGUCACGCUCUACGCACCUUCACUAGCCGGAGAAAGUCGGAAAAUCCGUGGAAAUGCACCGAACACAGACACAGUUUGGAACGUCUGGACUCCGACCUAGCACAACACAUUCUGUUGUGGGAAAUGCAACGUUGCACGUUGUACGACGUUUCCAAGUAAUGUUGCCAUGUGCGCUGACCUAUCCAUUUUCGUAGUUGCAUUUUGUCAAAACAUCACGAUUAGACGCAAUAAUAAAAUUUUAAUCUCCAUUUAAUUUGAAGUAGCCACUUGGAUAUCAGGGCCACCUUGAAGCAGAUCGCUCAAAAUGCUUACUCUUUCGAUAGUUGCAGAGCUUUCGAUGAACGUACAUUCGAAUUUUCAUUAUUUUUGGGUAAAAAAAAUGAAAAAAAAAAUUCUACCAACACCCCUAACGUGUGUUCAAUGUAAUGAAUUAAAAAUCAUCAUAUUGAAAUACUAAUUUUUUUUUUCAAUUUAUUAAGAACUGAAGUUUUGAUUUAUUGAAUAAAUUCAAUACAAUUUCAACCCUUUCCAGAAGAAAAAGUAAAAAUAUUCACCUUUCGACAAUCUGACUUCUUUUGGUCCUACUUUUUUAAGUCACCAUGAAUAUCUGCAAGAAGUGUUCUAUUUUGGCCUUGAAAUCCGCAUUUUUUUCAGCUAAAAAUAGCACGAAUCUACUAGAUAAACAGAACGUCAAUUGAAAUACGCAGUAACUAUUCCAAUGAAGUAAGUCCUUAUUUCCUGUUAUGAGCAAAAAUUCAAAACAGUAUUAUUGUUUGUUUGAACUGCAACCAGUGGCGCGUGCAGAAGCUCUCCUGCCGUCUCCAUGUGAUAUUGUUGACAAACAAAACAGAAUUUGGGGGUGACUAACCUCGCCGACUAUCCGGAUGAAUGGGAAAGGUCCGGGUUUGACCCCCAGUGACCUGGCCUAACACUUUCCAUGGUAACCGGCACGCAAGUCGACGAGCUCUUGGAUCCGAUAUCGAUUAACAGUUCACGAGAACGGCUCUAUCGGAAGAUAACAAUAAGAUUUACGGAAACUCCAUUAUUGGCUUUCAUCUCAAGCAAAUUCUUAAUUGUCGACUUCAAUUCCAGGGUAAGUAUGUGGCAGCAUCUCACAGAACUCAAGAAAGGGAAAUAAGUGGACUAAGACAUAUACAAAUUGGCCUUCCUGUUUCCAAAUUAUCCAAAAUCCGAACCGUCCACAUCCCCGGACAGUCAGCAUUGACACUGAUCCAAUUUCGAGAGCCUAGUCAAGGUGUGUAGGUCACCGGCUAUCUUUCGAGGCCAAAGCCAGAGAUGCGCACUGUCUAAUCACUCUCUCCAUUCAGGAAGCGGCUUAGCGGAAGGGUGGGAGCUACGUUGAGUAGUGGCGAAGGUGGCGCCGCCAACCGUCGAGUCGACGAAGGCGUUGGAAGUUGGAAGCUUGACCUGGAUACGCUAUUUGUGGACCGAAACGUUGAAGGGACUAACUCCGCACUAUCAAGAAUGAGGAAAUGCUUAGUGAAUGUGCCGGCCUAGCUCGGAUGUCAACAUUGAGACCAAAAGUUCAAUAACCGACAUACUCUCCGCCUUCUCCCACCGUUCCCCAGACCUGUCUGGAGUUACGAAAGCUGCCACAGCUCGCUGAAUUCUGCAACCGGAACAUAUGGCUUUUGAGUUCGAUGGCUCCAUCAACGGCCUCGGUGAAUGACGAAGAUCAAGGAAGAAAUGUCAUCCAUUGGAAGAGGAAACUGAGAAAAUGUUGGCGAACCUGAAAUCUCCUGAAACUAUUAACCAAUCGAUCUGUUUUUGAGGGUUAUUGGUGGGAGAUAACAAGACUAGCAAAGAUGCUUCAGUGCGCAGGUUUGAAUACAGCAGAACAUCAGUGAUUCUGCGCGUUAACAACAUAGCCGCAUGCACAUGACCAAGAUCAAAACUUCAAUAGGGUAAUCUAGCAUUUCCAAUUAUUGUCAACUCUAUAUAUCAUCUACUGAGAAUUUUGUGAAACUGUGAUUAUAAUGUUAUUUUAGUUUUUGAUUUCUCAAAAAAUCAGUUAUGUAUUUGAUAAAAAUAAAAUGUAUUCAAUAGC